rnacentral:rRNA from 1 species
AGAGUUUGAUCCUGGCUCAGAUUGAACGCUUGCGGCAGGCUUAACACAUGCAAGUCGAGCGGUAACAGGGGGUGCUUGCACCCCGCUGACGAGCGGCGGACGGGUGAGUAAUGCUUAGGAAUCUGCCCAGUAGUGGGGGAUAGCCCGGGGAAACCCGGAUUAAUACCGCAUACGUCCUACGGGAGAAAGCAGGGGAUCUUCGGACCUUGCGCUACUGGAUGAGCCUAAGUCGGAUUAGCUAGUUGGUGGGGUAAAGGCCUACCAAGGCGACGAUCCGUAGCUGGUCUGAGAGGAUGAUCAGCCACAUCGGGACUGAGACACGGCCCGAACUCCUACGGGAGGCAGCAGUGGGGAAUAUUGGACAAUGGGGGCAACCCUGAUCCAGCCAUGCCGCGUGUGUGAAGAAGGCUUUCGGGUUGUAAAGCACUUUCAGCGAGGAGGAAGGCUCUGAAGUUAAUACCUUCAGGGAUUGACGUUACUCGCAGAAGAAGCACCGGCUAACUCCGUGCCAGCAGCCGCGGUAAUACGGAGGGUGCAAGCGUUAAUCGGAAUUACUGGGCGUAAAGCGCGCGUAGGUGGUUAGGUAAGCGAGAUGUGAAAGCCCCGGGCUUAACCUGGGAACGGCAUUUCGAACUGUCUGACUAGAGUGUGGUAGAGGGUAGUGGAAUUUCCUGUGUAGCGGUGAAAUGCGUAGAUAUAGGAAGGAACACCAGUGGCGAAGGCGGCUACCUGGACCAACACUGACACUGAGGUGCGAGAGCGUGGGGAGCAAACAGGAUUAGAUACCCUGGUAGUCCACGCCGUAAACGAUGUCAACUAGCCGUUGGGACUCUUGAAGUCUUAGUGGCGCAGCUAACGCACUAAGUUGACCGCCUGGGGAGUACGGCCGCAAGGUUAAAACUCAAAUGAAUUGACGGGGGCCCGCACAAGCGGUGGAGCAUGUGGUUUAAUUCGACGCAACGCGAAGAACCUUACCUGGCCUUGACAUCCAGAGAACUUUCCAGAGAUGGAUUGGUGCCUUCGGGAACUCUGAGACAGGUGCUGCAUGGCCGUCGUCAGCUCGUGUCGUGAGAUGUUGGGUUAAGUCCCGUAACGAGCGCAACCCCUAUCCCUGGUUGCUAGCAGGUAAUGCUGAGAACUCCAGGGAGACUGCCGGUGACAAACCGGAGGAAGGUGGGGAUGACGUCAGGUCAUCAUGGCCCUUACGGCCAGGGCUACACACGUGCUACAAUGGCGCGUACAGAGGGCUGCCAACUCGCGAGAGUGCGCCAAUCCCUUAAAACGCGUCGUAGUCCGGAUCGGAGUCUGCAACUCGACUCCGUGAAGUCGGAAUCGCUAGUAAUCGAGAAUCAGAAUGUCGCGGUGAAUACGUUCCCGGGCCUCCUCAACGCCGCCCGUCA